CCGAAUUCAUACUACUAUUGCCUUAUGUGAGAUGCAGGGCAAACGAUAGUUUUAAUACUGAGGAUAAAGGCGAUUAUACUCACAUCAUUACUUCGCUACAAGUGUUAGAGAAGUUCCUGUAUGAAGUCAGCCUUGUAUGAAUAAAGGAACAAGUCGACUAGAUGAGGAGCACAGUUGGUUUCCAUAGGAAUGCAAAUUGUUGUUGAAAAAACACGUCCCCCAAACAUAACAAUUAGAUGUCAAUCAAGACAUAAAGCAUUUUGAUAAGGAAACCUUAAUUGUUCCGUAUUCUACAGUGUACAUACAUCAAUUUGGUGUUGUCCAGUGUGUGGAGUGAUUUUCCUUCAAAGCUACGUUAAAUCUUUACAAAGGCAAAUGGAUGAUUUAGAGAAAACUACGCGUAACUGGCAAAUGUAAUAAAUUUGCUUACCAUCUUUUGUCACAGAUUGUUACAAUUUAUGAAUGUCUUGUAAAUAAUGUGUAUUGGUAGUUAUUUGCUUGAUGUCCAGUUGGAACUAUUUCAUGGUUAACAAUGACUAAGGCGAGAUGUACUAAAACUAAUGCAUUUGAC